rnacentral:sRNA from 1 species
UGAAGAUAAAGCCCUUUGGCCCACCAGCC